rnacentral:rRNA from 1 species
UACAGAGGAUGCAAGCGUUAUCCGGAAUGAUUGGGCGUAAAGCGUCUGUAGGUGGCUUUUAAGUCCGCCGUCAAAUCCCAGGCUCAACUCUGGACAGGCGGUGGAACUACCAAGCUUGAGUACGGUAGGGCAGAGGGAAUUCCGGUGGAGCGGUGAAAUGCGUAGAGAUCGGAAAGAACACCAACGGCGAAAGCACUCUGCUGGGCCGACACUGACACUGAGAGACGAAAGCUAGGGAGCGAAUGGG